AACGCGAAGAACCUUACCUACCUUUGACAUUUUAAGAAUCUCGUGGAGACAUGGGAGUGCUGGAAACAGAGCUUAAGAACAGGUGCUGCAUGGCUGUCGUCAGCUCGUGUCGUGAGAUGUUGGGUUAAGUCCCGUAACGAGCGCAACCCUCGUUCUUAGUUGCCAACAGGUAAAGCUGGGGACUCUAAGAAGACUGCCGGUGACAAGCCGGAGGAAGGCGGGGAUGAUGUCAAGUCCUCAUGGCCCUUACAGGUAGGGCAACACACGUGCUACAAUGGCUGGUACAAAGGGAAGCGAAGUCGCAAGACGGAGCGAAUCCGAAAAAGCCAGUCUUAGUCCGGAUUGGAGUCUGGAACUCGACUCCAUGAAGCUGGAAUCGCUAGUAAUCGUAGAUCAGCACGCUACGGUGAAUACGUUCCCGGGCCUUGUACACACCGAGACGAC
rnacentral:rRNA from 1 species